rnacentral:rRNA from 1 species
UACGUAGGGACCAAGCGUUGUUCGGAUUUACUGGGCGUAAAGGGCGCGUAGGCGGCGUGACAAGUCACUUGUGAAAUCUCUGAGCUUAACUCAGAACGGCCAAGUGAAACUGUUGUGCUAGAGUGCAGAAGGGGCAAUCGGAAUUCUUGGUGUAGCGGUGAAAUGCGUAGAUAUCUGGAGGAACACCGGUGGCGAAGGCGGCAUCCUGGACCGGCAUUGACGCUGAGGCGCGAAAGCCAGGGGAGCAAACGGG